AUCACGAUAGUAAUAUGGGAAAAGGGUUAAAUAUACCCCUGAACUUUGCAAAAAUGUCUACAUAUAUCCCCAUUUAAAGUUUGGCUCACCUGUACCCCUACCGUUCAACCUUUGGAUCAUUUAUACCACUGUCAAUAUUAAAUGCCUUGCUGGCCUCCCAAAAAUCAUAUUUUUUUUUAAUUGCCACAUGGAACGAUUUAACCCAAAUACCUAAGCCCUAUUCUCAUAACUCCACCAUUGCUAAACCUCCUCUAUCCACCAUAGGUAAAGCUUCUCUCUCUACCAUAGCUUGCGGGUUACCCCAUUGAUUCAAUUUUCAAGCUCUGGUCAUCUUCCACAAUUCAAUUUUCCCAAAAAAUGAGCCAGGGUUCGAGUGCGUCUAGUGGAUCGAGGAUGAACUAUCAUUGUGGUAUUGCAGCGAGGAUUUUCACGGCUUUUACUCCAAUAAUGUUAUAAAUGUGAUUUUUGGAAAUGGAUAGAUGAUCUGCUCCAUCCUAGAGUUGAUGAUCUCAUCCACGAUUUGGAGGAGGAAAAUGAUAGUCUUGAGCUUGAAAAGAAAGCUUUGGAGACGAGAAUGAUUGAUCUUGAAAAGUACUUGGCAUCUGAUAUUGAAGAAAAAUGUGAACAUGAAGAUGAAAUUAGUGUUUCCAAGGGUGAGGAGGUUGUUGUCAAUAAUGAAGAGGUUGUUGUCGACAAUGAAGUUACUGUUUAUAAUGAAGAGGCCGUUGUUGAUAAGCCUUUGGCGGAUAUUGAUGAUGGGAUGUAAAAAUCUAAGGAAAAAGUGCUGAAGUUGUCGAUUGUGAUCGCUAUGUGGUGGUGUUGUUUUGUAGGAUUCAUCACAUCUUCGGUUAUGAAAUAGGGAUUGCUAUCAUUUUCCAUGUUUAUUUUUCAAUGUGUAACAUUGGUAACCUUUAACAUAUAUGUAAGUUCUUGAUGGCUUUAGAAUUCUAGUUCAUAUUUUGGUUGAUCUGCCAAUUUUCAAUUUCAUUAUGGAAGUUGUAAUCUCGUUAAGGAUUGCUUUCCUUAAUGCAAAUGAAAAUGUAAAAUUUGUCAUUUAGUUGUUAUGAAUGCAAAUGAAAUAUUUGGAAAUAUCUGAUUGUGGAGUUCAAUUGGAUA